rnacentral:rRNA from 1 species
UGACCUGCCCAUUGGGAUCUAAAAGGCCGCGGUAUUAUGACCGUGCAAAGGUAGCAUAAUCAUUAGUCUUUUAAUUGAAGGCUAGAAUGAAUGGUUGGACAAGAAAUAAUCUGUCUUAAAUUAAAAUAUUGAAUUUAACUUUUAAGUGAAAAGGCUUAAAUUAUCUGGAGUGACGAUAAGACCCUAUAAAACUUUAUAUUUUAAAAUAAUAGUUAGUUUUAUUUAAGAAUUUUAUUUGGAAAUAUUUUAUUGGGGUGAUAAAGAUAUAAAUUAAAAUAACUGUCUUUUUUUUUUACAAUAAUCUUUGAAUUAAUGAUCCUAAGAAAGGAGUAAAAGAUCAAGUUACUUUAGGGAUAACAGCGUAAUUUUUUUUAAGAGUUCAUAUCGACAAAAAAGUUUGCGACCUCGAUGUUGAAUUAAAAGAUCUUUAUAGAGCA